UACGUAGGGUGCAAGCGUUGUCCGGAAUUAUUGGGCGUAAAGAGCUCGUAGGCGGUCUGUCGCGUCGGCUGUGAAAACCCGGGGCUCAACCCCGGGCCUGCAGUCGAUACGGGCAGACUAGAGUGCGGUAGGGGAGACUGGAAUUCCUGGUGUAGCGGUGAAAUGCGUAGAUAUCGAGAGGAACACCUGCGGCGAAGGCGGGUUGCUGGGCUGACACUGACGCUGAAGUGCGAAAGCUAGGGGAGCGAACGGG
rnacentral:rRNA from 1 species